AAAAUGCUUUUGAGUAAAUACAGUGCCUCGGGUAAAUACACAGUAGGCGUGCCUGCUCUUCUCACAGAGCUGGUAGUGCAGGGAGUGGUGGGUGGCCAGCCCUGCCUCUGACCUGCUGGAGGGGUAAGUAACCUCAGAAGAGACGGACUUUCUUCAGGAAGUACACAAGUGACUGGGUCCCUCCCUUGUACCUCAGCAUGAAACACCUCUGACUGUUCUGGGCAAGGGCGUAUCAGGAAAUCCAGGGAGCUGGCAAAGCAGGCUGCUGUAACAGGCAGAUGCUUUUCUAGAAAGGGAACAAGCUCAUCCUUAAAGUGCAUCAUUGAGUCAUAAAAAGGGAGACCAGAGCAGGUAUGAGAUGCAGGAGAAAAAAUGACAUUGAUGUUGCUCAGAGGUGCAGAUCCCAAACAGAGAAGACAAGAGUGGGUUUGUUUGCAAGUAAGACCCUCAAAUAGCAGUCUAACAAGAUCAUAUUAUUGUUGUUGUUGUUGUUGUUAUUAUUAUUAUUAUUAUUAUUAUUAAAGAAGACAUGUCCAGGUACUCACCUGUCAGUGUCUUACAUAUCAGCGACUGAAGCAGAGUCCACCUCUCUGCUUAACUUUUAUCCACAUUUAGCUUUUAUCCCCAAGACAAUAUCAAAGUUCCUGCUUGCAUCCAUGUUCUAGGUGGCUCCAAAGAGAAAGUGGGGGUCCAAGUGGACACCUGUCACUUACAGUUGAACUAUGUGGGAGCCAACUCCACAACUUACCAGCUUCACAGCCCUGGCACUUUCCACCUGCUGCAUACUGUUUGCUGACGACUCAGAGGAAAUACUUGUUUGUAUUUCUGUUUGGAAUAUCUGUUAGAAUACGGUCCUGGUAAAGAAGUCUAUCGUAAGUAUAAUUCUCUUUUAUUCUCUUCUACAUAGUUCCCCAUGCGUCCCCUUUUGUGUUGGGCUUACUGCAGCUCCGUUUUUCUGAUUGUGAACUUUAAGUUGACAGUGUUUAUCUUUUCUCAACCAUUCUCCAAGUACCUAGGCCGCAGCUACAUAGCGAGUUUGAGGCCAGCCUGGGGAGUCAAGCUGCUCCUUCCUUAGUACUUCUGCUCCGAUGAAUAGGUCAUUUGGGGUAACUCGUCCAAACUCACAGUCCUUUCAAGCUGGACAGUCAGAAACCACAAGUGGAGAGGCAGCCAUGAAGUCAUGGUACAGCAUGUGAUCCCAGGGCUUGUGCUUUGCAGAGAGCAUCUAUUUAUUGCUGGAGAAGGGGAGCAUCUAAGACGACAUCCUCCAGCAUCAUCAGAAAGAUCCAGCCAUUUCCUAACGAGUCAUAUGGAAAACAGCAGUUCACAUGCAAGCUCCUUCCUGUUUCCCCGUAAGGAGUAGCUGCUGCCUUCUCCCUCCAUGCAGUGUCCUGUAGACCUGGUCAGGAUAAGUCCAUCUUCUUUCUUCAGUUCCCUGGCCCUUACCCUGGGACAUAGACAACCAAGAAGCCCAAGCCACAGAUCCACUGUUCAGCACAGACCUAUCUCUCCAGCCAGAGCUACCUGAGUCAGCGUGUGCACACAGGUCACUUGGCUUUUUUUUUCCUUUGUAAAAGGAAAAGGCAAAAAAAUUCACGGCUUAAAAGUAGAAGUGUCAAGAUGGUGUUACAAUUAUAGCACCAAAGUCUGGAGAGAUGCCUCAGACAUGGAAAGCAUUAAAAUAUAGAAAGCUGGCUUUCCAAAAUAGCUUUAUGGCACUGAUUUAAAUGGUUUGGAUUUCUCCCCUUUAAAGUUUAUUUUACUUUCCCUUCUUUUGAUUGUAAUCAGUCAUCUGAAGGAUAACUGGUAAGGAGCCUUGUCAGCGUAGGUAGGUGGCACCUCUGUCUUCCAAAAGGCAACGUGGAGGAGGCCUUUCAGAUCAUAAAUGUCUCUUCUGUGAUUGUGUUUCCUUUGGUGAGUACACUGGGGACGACGAGCCUCGCUUGUGAUGGGUAAGCACUCCAUCACUGAGCCGCUCGGCACCCCCAGGCUUAAGGAGCAGAAGUUUUGAAAUGAGCUAUCGAAAGGACAUUGGGGAAAAGGGGGAUAGAGGGGUCUUCAAGUACAAUGGUUCAGACAGCAGCUGUAUACACGUAAGGAGGGCAUAGCACUCCAGAGCUGAAGGCCAAGGCUAUUUCCCUUUCAGGUUUGAAAACAAGGAAAAAGCAAAUUAGGCACCUUGAGUACCCGCACCAUGAAAACUGUCACCCAAAGCCUUUCUUCACGGAUGAGAAAUGUCAAGGGUAUUUCUAAGUUAAUUGGACACACCAUCAAGUAUGGCGGUCUCAAGUGCAUAUCCUUUGAAAGACUCGGAGUUGAUGUCUUUUGAGCCAGUGCCUUCAUGAAGAUCUUUAAUCUUCAGCAAAAGAAAAAAUGUGGUAAGCUCUAUAUCAGUUCUAAUUUUUAAAUUAGAACAAAGGUCUCUGCUCAGGAUGGUUGCUACUGGAAGGGGCCACAUCAUCUUGAGACACGUGGGAGGCUGAAAACCUAGCUGGUUAGCUACUCGGCCAGUGAGUGAAACACAGAGAAGAGUUUGCAAUGCUUUCUCCAAGCUUCCGCCACCCUCAUUAAUGAAUGACACCCACAAUGAAAACAGUGCGUCUUCUCAAGGAGAGGUAGCAGAAUAAGGCAGCAUCCUAACACUGAUGGCCAUGUUCUUCUGACUCUAUCAGCCUCUGCAGCUUGCGUGUGGCAUUUCCAAUUCUGUGUAACUAUAGCCUUCCAGACGUGCUCUUUUUUGUCCUAUGCCUACACUGCAAAGAGAUAAAAGUCAAAUUUUAGUUUUAAAGUUCAUUUUUUUAAUGUUUAUGUAACCAACUUAUGAGAGCGAGUGCUAUACCCAUAGACAAUUCCAGGAAGUCUAGCGAUCGUACAGGAUGCUGCGGAAGGUGCUCAGAUAAUGGAGGAAUCUGCCCGCAGUGAUGAAUGAGCCUUUGAGCCAAAAUGUCAGGCAGGUCAGCUAGCAAAAUGGCAGCUGUAAACAGCCCAGGCAGAGGGCAGGUUUGCUAUGCAUGCUGCUGCUGGACAUCAAUCACCUGAUGCAGAAGAGCUCUGCGAUCAAGCUACCACAAAGGAAAUUGACAAAUUUGUAAACAGAAAGACUUCCUCAGACCGUAAAGUGCAGGAAUGUGAGUGACAGGGCAUUAAGUCCUGAAGGGAAACCCACGCCAAUCGUCUGUUCAUUCAUUCAUUUAGCAAACAUCCUUUGAGUGUCUGUUUAAGUACCAGAUACCAGAACGUCCUGGCGUUAUAAAGAUGGAGUAAAUGGCUCUGUGCUCCAUAACUGUUGGGUCUCAUUGUAACAAAUGCCUUUUGUAUAUGCUGGACAAAUGCACACGCAUAGGUGCAGCAAAGGACACUGCAGAAACGUUGUAAUUGCUGUUGGUGACAUUCCACAGAUGGGAAACAAUGGCAGUAAGAACCAGAGAACACACAAUAAAUACUCUUCGGCAACAGAAAUAACACAGUGACCAGGCUGCGGGUGAAUGCUGCAGGCGGAGCUGACGUAAGGACAUCACACUACAUGAGCCUGUUUACGUAACAUUUAAAGGUGGAAAACCAUGGCACUAGAGCACAGAACACGGCUUUCAUGGAAGAUGAGGAGUGAGUGUCAGGUUAGUGAGGAAGGGGACUGCUGGGUACCAUUCGAUUUGUGAGCUGAGUGGUAGGCACCCCAAUGUAGUUGUUAUAGGUGUCUCUUUGCUCGUGGGUCCUCAUCAAGGACAGAGCAAGACUCAGAGAAAGAAGCAGCAAGUCAGACUUCUCAGAGCAAAGGAAGAUUGCAUGCAUGUAGAUCUGAGGAUCCACAGGGCACACCUUUUACCUACCACAUUUGUGCUUCUUCCCAGCAUCUUCUCGCUACCGUUUGGCUGGAGGCCUUAAGGGAUGUUUCCCUACCCCAACACGUUUGCUACAACUCCUCAUGUUGUGGUGACACCCGGUGCAUAAACUCAUUUCCACUGCUACCUCGUAACUGUAGCUUUGCUACUGUUAUGAAUGAAUCAUAAUGCAAAUAUUUGAUAUGUGACUCCCAAAUGAGUUGUGAGCCACAGGUUGAGAUUCCCUGACUUAGAACCUUUGGAUCUAGAAAGUUUCUGUUCCUUUUGAGAUUGCUCUGGCCCUUGUGGUCGGUGUCACGGCUACAUGUCUUGAGCUUGUCUCCCUACAUUGGUCAGGUGAAAAUGGCUGGAUCCAUGCCUGCCUCUCAGGUGACUUCUAGGCUGUGUCAAUUAAUACCACCUAAGACAAUUUCCUUCUCUUUCUUCUCUAUUCCUGCUUCUCCUUCAUCCUUACUGGGAUGUCUUAGAUGUUACGUCAUUCUUCUGAAAUUCUGUCAGUAUUUGGGUUUUUUUUUUUUUGCUUGUUUGUUUUCAUUUUUUAAGACAGGGUUUCUCUGUGUAGCCCUGGCUGCUUUGGAGCUCAUUCUGUAGACCUGGCUGGCUUAGAGAUCCACCUUUCUUUGUCUCCCAAGUGCUGGGAUUAAAGGUGUGUGCCACCACCACCAGCUUUGUCAACAUUUUUAACAAGACCUUUUUUAGUAAAGAUAUAAUCACCAUAUUGUUAAUAUACCUAGCAAAAUUAUCAAUAAUUCCUUUGUAAUGGAAUACUGAGCAUUUCUAGUUUUUUUUUUUUUUUUAAAUUUGGAUGUCUUUCACAAUUGAUCAGUAGUUUUCUGGAAAUUUGCCCCCUCCCUCCCCCCUUUUUUAAUUCUUAAGAGCCCAUCUUUUUUAUCCUCCUUUCAUGUAAUAAUUUAUUACAGAAACUGGCUUACACUGGUUUGCUUUUUACGGUAGGAGGUUCCCCUCCUGAGCCUGCUAUAGUGCUUCUGCUUCUCAUUCCUUUGUUUAGCGAUGGGUCUCAUAUAGCACAGCUUGGCCUCCAACUUACUAUGUACCCAACGAUGACCCUAAACUUCUGAUCCUCCUACUUCUACCUCCUGAGUGCUGCUGGGAUUUUAGGAAUGUGCCUCAGUGCCCAGUUUUAUGGCGUUUGGAGAUCAAGCCAAGGCUUUUGUGUAUGGUAGGUGACCAUGCAACUCACUUGGCUACAUCCCUUACUUUCCUUCUGCUGGUAAACAUGUUUGUUCCUCUAUCUCCUGGGCCGUCCAUCCUACACAGUGUGGGGUUCAACUUUGGUUUAAGUCAUUCAUCUGUGUUGAGCCUUAAUCUUCAUGGCUUUAAUGUGCUUUAAGACUCUGUGUAGUUUCUUCCCGAAGCUCUUUGUUUUUGUUUGGUUUCAGUUUCUAUUUUAUACAGCUCUUAACUUUGACAGUGGCUUCUUGCUCUAUUAAUAGUCCCCAGACACAUAGUCAACUGCAACUGAAACCUCCAAGGUCAAGUUCUGGGUCCUUCCCAUCCCAGAAUGCCUCUGGGAGAAAACUUCCUUUCUUAUUCCUCGUGUGCUUAGCUUAUUAUCAUCUUUUGAAUUUAGAGUCCUGCAGCUGUCUUAGAAGACAGACUGGGUCACUCUCCCAGAAGGGGUGUCAGAAAGCUCACAGCGAAGGGAAUACUUAGCUGUUGCUACAACUGGAAAUUCUUCCUCCCAUUCCACAGCACUUCACUGUGUGGACCAACAAAUACUAGGUACAAAGCCAACUGAAGUCAACUGCCAAGUAAGGGACUGCCAUUCUAUUAGCCCUCCUAUACAGUUGGUAAGUCUGCUUGUCCUAUUUCCACUCUGACAGUCUGAAUGACUCUCUAGUAUUAGCAUUCCUUUUUCCCCAACACUAGCACAAAAAAUGUUAGUAAUUACCGAAGUUAGAUAAGUCAUGGUGCGCACAAUGAUCCCCCUUUUAAAAUAAAAUAAUAAAACUGGAAAAUGAUUAAUUCUUUCCUCAUGCCUGAGUCAGGUAUGCUUGAGUCGGUCACUGUCGCAUUGACUGGGGGAGCUUAGAAGCUGUCUUUUGAGUCGAUGGCUCAAACAAGCUUCGGCCUCUCCUGGUGCACAAGACCAUCGCAUUUGAUGCUAUUUAUUACGACUGAACCCUGUUCGUGUGGUAUCAGCCUUGUCUCUGUGGAAGCCCGUCUAUUAUCAAAAGCCUCUGCGUGCUUUAUGUUCAAAGCGCCCAGCAAUGGAUAGAAAGCCAGGACUGUCCUAGAUCAGGGGACCGUCACAUCACCCAGAAGCUGAGGAAAUGAUUACAAGGCACCUGUCUGAGCUCUGCAUGGUCCUGCUGGAGAGAAGCAAAACACCCUUCAGGUCUUGUAAUUUAACUGCUGCCAGUCAUAUCUCAGAACAAGUUUAGGUCAGCUUCUGAAGAUGUUUCAAGUUUAUUAUAUGCAAUUACUAUAGCCUGAUUUUACGCAGAGAUCACCUGACUUCCCAAGACUUCCCUCAAGCCCAGGAUUGAUUGACCUCAGACAUGAUGACACAAUAGAAGAAUGACAUGAAUUUUGUCUGAGGGCAGUUAGCGGGAGGCUGGAGGCUGAAGGCUCGAGGCUGGAGGCUGGAGGUGCAUGUGGGUAGUGGGACCUCAGAACAGGGUGACAAAGAGCAAGUGGGAGCUGCAUAUGUUGUAUGCCUGUGUCUUCCCAGCCCAGACCUUGUAAUGAAAUGUAAGAGAUGAACAAAAGUUUAAGGAAGUGUAAGGCACAGUUAACAGUUAACGGUCCUAUGGCCUUUUAAACACACACACACACACACACACACAUAUACAUAUAUAUAUGUAUGUAUGUAUGUAUGUAUGUAUGUAUGUAUGUAUGUAUGUAUGUAUGUAUAUAACUGCAGGAGCUUGUAGAAUCCAGGAGAGGCCUCAGAGAAGUGAAGUUACAGAUGGUUGUGAGCCAUCACGUGAAUGUUAAGAAGGAAACUAGUCCUCUGUGAGACUAGUAAGUACUCUUAACCAGCUACUAAGCCAUCUCUCUGGCUCCUUAAGUUAAUUCUUAAAAUAAGUUUAAAGAAUUAAGUACUGAAAAACCAACCCAUUUUUUUCUCAGUAAUCUUUUGUUGUUAGCAAUCUGUUUAUUUUCAGCUUGGACAUUCAUAAUCACACUCCUUUAAAACAUUCUCUUUACCCUCUAGGUAUGUCUCUUGGAGAUAUGGCUUCAGUCAAGUAGUCUAAUCUACAUGACUGCAUCUAAAAGAAACCCCUACUUUUGGAGAUAAAAUGGAAUACUUGUCCACUUGGUACUAGGGAUCAAAAAAUUGGCAUACUUUUGCACAUUAAAAUCAAUAGAAUAGUGCUGGAGAGAUGGCUCAGUGGUUAAGAGCACCCGACUGCUCUUCCAGAGGUCAUGAGCUCAA